UGAGAGGUGGCCGAGUGGUCUAAGGCGCUGUACAAUUACAUCUUACGUACGGUAUGCUCUCUGAGCAUUCGCGGGUUCGAAUCCCUCCCUCUCCC
rnacentral:tRNA from 1 species